rnacentral:rRNA from 1 species
CAGCAGCCGCGGUAAUUCGGAGGAUCCAAGCGUUAUCCGGAAUCAUUGGGUUUAAAGGGUCCGUAGGCGGUCUUAUAAGUCAGUGGUGAAAUCUCCUAGCUCAACUAGGAAACUGCCAUUGAUACUGUAAGACUUGAAUUUUUGUGAAGUAACUAGAAUAUGUAGUGUAGCGGUGAAAUGCUUAGAUAUUACAUGGAAUACCAAUUGCGAAGGCAGGUUACUAACAAACGAUUGACGCUGAUGGACGAAAGCGUGGGGAGCGAACAGGAUUAGAUACCCUGGUAGUCCACGCCGUAAACGAUGGAUACUAGCUGUUCGGAGCAAUCUGAGUGGCUAAGCGAAAGUGAUAAGUAUCCCACCUGGGGAGUACGCACGCAAGUGUGAAACUUAAAGGAAUUGACGG